UAGGGAAUCUUCGGCAAUGGGGGCAACCCUGACCGAGCAACGCCGCGUGAGUGAAGAAGGUUUUCGGAUCGUAAAGCUCUGUUGUAAGAGAAGAACGAGUGUGAGAGUGGAAAGUUCACACUGUGACGGUAACUUACCAGAAAGGGACGGCUAACUACGUGCCAGCAGCCGCGGUAAUACGUAGGUCCCGAGCGUUGUCCGGAUUUAUUGGGCGUAAAGCGAGUGCAGGCGGUUCAAUAAGUCUGAUGUGAAAGCCUUCGGCUCAACCGGAGAAUUGCAUCAGAAACUGUUGAACUUGAGUGCAGAAGAGGAGAGUGGAACUCCAUGUGUAGCGGUGGAAUGCGUAGAUAUAUGGAAGAACACCAGUGGCGAAGGCGGCUCUCUGGUCUGCAACUGACGCUGAGGCUCGAAAGCAUGGGUAGCGAACAGGAUUAGAUACCCUGGUAGUCCAUGCCGUAAACGAUGAGUGCUAAGUGUUGGGAGGUUUCCGCCUCUCAGUGCUGCAGCUAACGCAUUAAGCACUCCGCCUGGGGAGUACGACCGCAAGGUUG
rnacentral:rRNA from 1 species